GCAUCGAUGAAGAACGCAGCGAAAUGCGAUAAUUAAUGUGAAUUGCAGAAUUCAGUGAAUCAUCGAGUCUUUGAACGCACAUUGCGCCCUCUGGUAUUCCGGAGGGCAUGCCUGUCCGAGCGUCAUUGCUGCCCUCCAGCCCGGCUGGUGUGUUGGGCCCCGUCCCCCUUCCCGGGGGGACGGGCCCGAAAGGCAGCGGCGGCACCGCGUCCGGUCCUCGAGCGUAUGGGGCUUUGUCACCCGCUCUUGUAGGCCCGGCCGGCGCCAGCCGACCCCCUCAAUCUAUUUUUCAGGUUGACCUCGGAUCAGGUAGGGAUACCCGCUGAACUUAAGCAUAUCAAUAAGCGGAGGA
rnacentral:rRNA from 1 species